UAACGCGAAGAACCUUACCAAAUCUUGACAUCCUUUGAAAACUCUAGAGAUAGAGCCUUCCCCUUCGGGGGACAAAGUGACAGGUGGUGCAUGGUUGUCGUCAGCUCGUGUCGUGAGAUGUUGGGUUAAGUCCCGCAACGAGCGCAACCCUUAAGCUUAGUUGCCAUCAUUAAGUUGGGCACUCUAGGUUGACUGCCGGUGACAAACCGGAGGAAGGUGGGGAUGACGUCAAAUCAUCAUGCCCCUUAUGAUUUGGGCUACACACGUGCUACAAUGGACAAUACAAAGGGCAGCUAAACCGCGAGGUCAUGCAAAUCCCAUAAAGUUGUUCUCAGUUCGGAUUGUAGUCUGCAACUCGACUACAUGAAGCUGAAUCGCUAGUAAUCGUAGAUCAGAAAGUAAAAGGUCUU
rnacentral:rRNA from 1 species